UUUAUCUGAGCCACAAUGUUUAGCUGAGCCACAAUGCUAAACAUUGUGAUUCAGAGAAACAUUGUGGCUCAGAUAAACAUUGUGGCUCAGCUUAACAUUGUGGCU
rnacentral:pre_miRNA from 1 species